GACGAACGCUGGCGGCGUGCUUAACACAUGCAAGUCGAACGCUGAAGCUCAGCUUUUGUUGGGUGGAUGAGUGGCGAACGGGUGAGUAACACGUGAGUAACCUGCCCCCUUCUUUGGGAUAACGCCCGGAAACGGGUGCUAAUACUGGAUAUUAACUGGUCUUCGCUUGGGGGUUGGUGGAAAGGGUUUUUCUGGUGGGGGCUGGGCUCGCGGCCUAUCAGCUUGUUGGUGGGGUGAUGGCCUAACAAGGCUUUGACGGGGGGCCGGCCGGGGAGAGUGACUGGUAGCAUGAGGAGUGAGAUACGGCCCGAAAUACUGCGCGGAGCAGCAGUGGGGACUAUUGCGCAGGGUAUGGAAGCCUGGUGCGACGACGCCGCGAGAAAGAUGGAGGCCUUGGGGUUGGGAACCGGUUUCGCUCAUGGUCAAGCCUCAACAAUGGUUGUGGUGAGGGUAGUGGGUAAAGAAGCGCCGGCUAACUACGUG
rnacentral:rRNA from 1 species